rnacentral:lncRNA from 1 species
UAAAGUAUAAUACAUGCAUUUUAACAAAUUACUUGACAUGAUCUGGGAACACUGCAUACACUGAAUCACUGAUACACAUUGCCAUCCAGAUAUGAACAAUCUUUGAUUUCUAAAGCUGCAUAUAUACUCCCACCCCGCGUCCCCAUUCUCAAGCCAUAUACAAUUAAACAUGUUAUGUUUAAUGCUAUUUAUUAAUAGAGCUGUUUUUCCUCCUGCAGACACCAGAUCCACUCCCAACGUUCAAUCCAAUCACCUGCCCUCUUGGAAUUCACAAUGUGAGUUUUUAUAUCUUGGACCUGAAAUAAUGGAGGAGACAUAGCAAAGGUAUCUCAAUGCAAG